CUCAUGCCUCUGAAUCAACAAGCAAAGAAGGGAGUUACUGUGCUGGCUGUGGUAAUUGGUCCUGAUUGCCAAGCAGAAGUUGGACUGUUCCUGCACUCUGGAGGUAAGGAAAAGGAUGUCCUGGGAUACAGGAGAUCCCUUAGCUUAUCUCUUAGUAGUACCGUGGCUUGUAAUUAAGGUCAGUGGAAAACUACAACAACCCAGACCAGGCAGGACUACUAAGGACCCAGAGCCUUGAGGAAUCACCCCACCAGUUGAAGAACUAUGACCAGCUGAAGUCCUAGCUGAAGGCAAAGCGUCAGAAUGGGUAAUGGAAGAAGGAAGACGAAUGAUUAAGGGCCUUGCUGACAGUCGUUUUGGGGAACAUCAGCUCUUCCUUCAGAGGAGCUUGUAGACAGCAGGUAACAUAUCUCCAUCUGAAACAAGAUCUGAAGGGAAAUAGAGGAGCUGCUGCUGUUGCUGUUGCUGUCGCUUCAGUCGUGUCUGACUCUGUGUGACCCCAUAGACAGCAGCCCACCAGGCUCCUCCAUCCCUGGGCUUCUCCAGGCAAGAACACUGGAGUGGGUUGCCAUUUCCUUCUCCAGUGCAUGAAAGUGAAAAGUGAAAGUGAAGUCGCUCAGUCAAAAGGCGAUCUUUCUGACCCAGGGACUGAACCCACAUCUCUUGCAUAGGCAGUGGAUUCUUUACCACUGCACCACCUGAGAAGCCCUUGACAAGAUGCAA
ensembl:lncRNA